rnacentral:tRNA from 1 species
GGGGGAGUAGCUCAGCUGGUUAGAGUGCUUGCUUGACAUGCAAGAGGUCCCCGGUUCGAUCCCGGGCUUCCCCACCA